GGGGUUUUAGCUCAGUGGUAGAGCACUCAUCUAGCAUAUGAAAGGUCCUAGGUUUGAUCCUCAGGACCACA
rnacentral:tRNA from 1 species